rnacentral:lncRNA from 1 species
AGAGAUAACAAAAGAGAGUAUGAGGGAGAGGGAGAAACAGACUCCCCGCGGAGCAGGGAGCUUGAUUCGAGGCGGGAUCCCCAGACCCCGGGACCAUGCGGGAGCGAAGGCAGACCUUCAACCCACUGAAUCACUGAGGCAUCCUUCCACCUUGUUAAUGCGGCUGCUAGAAAUCUUAAAAUUGCACUUGUGGCUCCCAUUAUAUGUCUGGGUAUGUUACAUCUACGCUCUCCAUGUGGGGCUUGCUGGGCGUCAGACUCUGUGUGGAGCACUUUACAUCCAUUUACUCAUGGAGAUCUUAAAGGAACUGCUUGUGGGAAUGAUCUUGUCUUCCUUCCGCAAGUGGGCAGGCUGAGGCCAGAAGAGGCUGCUUCACACAAAGCUCUCUUUUGGUUGUGGGUAGACCGGUGGCUGGGUUUGGAUCCUCAGUUGGUGGCUGCAGCCAUUCUGUGCUCAAGGGUAACCUACUGCAUAGAACUGUGCCCGGAUUACCGUGGUUGGUGCAGUCCAGCUGCCGUAGCUUUGCAAGGCUGCUACCAGCGAGUGUGGCUCGGAAACCCGGAGAGAAUUCAUUCUGCAGCUACGAUUCACCAGAGGAAGCUGGAACUUCACACACAUACCCCACGUACCAGCUGCCAUUCCAGGCUGGAUCAAGUGAAUCAAGAUUGCGAGACUCUCCAAAUGUCAUCACUCCCUUGA